CAGGUGUGUGUGUGUGUGUGUGUGUGUGUGUGUGCGUGCGCGCACGCGCUGUGCACAUGCACAUGCCCAAAGUC
rnacentral:miRNA from 1 species